GACGAAGGGGGCAAGCGUUAAUCGGAAUUACUGGGCGUAAAGCGUGCGCAGGCGGUUUUGUAAGCCAGAUGUGAAAUCCCCGGGCUUAACCUGGGAAUGGCAUUUGGGACUGCAAGGCUCGAGUGCGGCAGAGGAGACUGGAAUUCCUGGUGUAGCAGUGAAAUGCGUAGAUAUCAGGAGGAACACCGAUGGCGAAGGCAGGUCUCUGGGCUGACACUGACGCUCAUGCACGAAAGCGUGGGUAGCAAACAGG
rnacentral:rRNA from 1 species